AGGUCCAGCCUGCCCAGUGAUAUAAUUCAACGGCCGCGGUACCCUGACCGUGCGAAGGUAGCAUAAUCACUUGUUCCUUAAAUAGGGACUAGUAUGAACGGCAUCACGAGGGCUUUACUGUCUCCUCUUUCCAAUCAGUGAAACUGAUCCCCCUGUGAAGAAGCAGGGAUGAACAUAUAAGACGAGAAGACCCCAUGGAGCUUUAAACCCAACAACAACCUUAACCUACAUAACUCAUUAUAGUUACUAAAGUCCUGUCUGUUGGUUUUAGGUUGGGGUGACCGCGGAGUAAAACCUAACCUCCACGACGAAUGGGACUACCCCUCUUAUCCAAGAGCCACUUCUCUACRAAUCAACAAUUUGACGUUAAAUGAUCCAACUUCUUGAUCAACGAACCAAGUUACCCUGGGGAUAACAGCGCAAUCCAUUUUGAGAGCCCCUAUCGACAAAUGGGUUUACGACCUCGAUGUUGGAUCAGGGUAUCCCAGUGGUGCAGCCGCUACUAAUGGUUUGUUUGUUCAACAAU
rnacentral:rRNA from 1 species